UUCCGUUGGGGGAACCUGCGGAGGGAUCAUUACACAAAUAUGAAGGCGGGCUGGAACCUCUCGGGGUUACAGCCUUGCUGAAUUAUUCACCCUUGUCUUUUGCGUACUUCUUGUUUCCUUGGUGGGUUCGCCCACCACUAGGACAAACAUAAACCUUUUGUAAUUGCAAUCAGCGUCAGUAACAAAUUAAUAAUUACAACUUUCAACAACGGAUCUCUUGGUUCUGGCAUCGAUGAAGAACGCAGCGAAAUGCGAUAAGUAGUGUGAAUUGCAGAAUUCAGUGAAUCAUCGAAUCUUUGAACGCACAUUGCGCCCUUUGGUAUUCCAAAGGGCAUGCCUGUUCGAGCGUCAUUUGUACCCUCAAGCUUUGCUUGGUGUUGGGCGUCUUGUCUCUAGCUUUGCUGGAGACUCGCCUUAAAGUAAUUGGCAGCCGGCCUACUGGUUUCGGAGCGCAGCACAAGUCGCACUCUCUAUCAGCAAAGGUCUAGCAUCCAUUAAGCCUUUUUUCAACUUUGACCUCGGAUCAGUAGUUUCCGGUUCCC
rnacentral:rRNA from 1 species